rnacentral:rRNA from 1 species
UACGUAGGGUGCGAGCGUUGUCCGGAAUUACUGGGCGUAAAGAGCUCGUAGGUGGUUUGUCGCGUUGUUCGUGAAAACUCACAGCUUAACUGUGGGCGUGCGGGCGAUACGGGGCAGACUGGAGUACUGCAGGGGAGACUGGAAUUCCUGGUGUAGCGGUGAAAUGCGCAGAUAUCAGGAGGAACACCGGUGGCGAAGGCGGGGUCUCUGGGCCGGAACUGACGCUGAGGAGCGAAAGCGUGGGGAGCGAACAGG